rnacentral:rRNA from 1 species
UAACACAUGCAAGUCGAGGGGUAACAGGGAUUGCUUGCAAUCCGCUGACGACCGGCGCACGGGUGCGUAACGCGUAUGCAACCUACCUUCUACAGGGGGAUAGUCAAUAGAAAUGUUGAAUAAUACCCCAUACGAUCUUUGAAUAGCAUUAUUUAAAGAAGAAAGCUCCGGCGGUAGAAGAUGGGCAUGCGUCCUAUUAGUUAGUUGGUAAGGUAACGGCUUACCAAGACUUCGAUAGGUAGGGGUCCUGAGAGGGAGACCCCCACACUGGUACUGAGACACGGACCAGACUCCUACGGGAGGCAGCAGUGAGGAAUAUUGGACAAUGGAGGCAACUCUGAUCCAGCCAUGCCGCGUGCAGGAAGACUGCCCUAUGGGUUGUAAACUUCUUUUAUACAGGAAGAAAUAUACCUACGUGUAGGUAUUUGACGGUACUGUACGAAUAAGGAUCGGCUAACUCCGUGCCAGCAGCCGCGGUAAUACGGAGGAUCCAAGCGUUAUCCGGAAUCAUUGGGUUUAAAGGGUCCGUAGGCGGUCUUUUAAGUCAGAGGUGAAAUCCUACAGCUCAACUGUAGAAUUGCCUUUGAUACUGAAAGACUUGAGUUAUUGUGAAGUAGUUAGAAUGUGUGGUGUAGCGGUGAAAUGCAUAGAGAUCACACAGAAUACCGAUUGCGAAGGCAGAUUACUAACAAUAUACUGACGCUGAGGGACGAAAGCGUGGGGAGCGAACAGGAUUAGAUACCCUGGUAGUCCACGCCGUAAACGAUGGAUACGAGCUGUUCGACCAACAUUGGUUGGUUGAGUGGCUAAGCGAAAGUGAUAAGUAUCCCACCUGGGGAGUACGGUCGCAAGACUGAAACUCAAAGGAAUUGACGGGGGCCCGCACAAGCGGUGGAGCAUGUGGUUUAAUUCGAUGAUACGCGAGGAACCUUACCAGGGCUUAAAUGUAAGUUGCAUGAUUUAGAGAUAGAUCUUUCUUCGGACUACUUACAAGGUGCUGCAUGGUUGUCGUCAGCUCGUGCCGUGAGGUGUCAGGUUAAGUCCUAUAACGAGCGCAACCCCUGUCGUUAGUUGCCAGCAAGUUAAGUUGGGCACUCUAGCGAGACUGCCAGUGCAAACUGUGAGGAAGGUGGGGAUGACGUCAAAUCAUCACGGCCCUUACGUCCUGGGCUACACACGUGCUACAAUGGUCGGUACAGAGAGCAGCCACUACGCGAGUAGGAGCGAAUCUAUAAAACCGAUCUCAGUUCGGAUCGCAGUCUGCAACUCGACUGCGUGAAGCUGGAAUCGCUAGUAAUCGGAUAUCAGCCAUGAUCCGGUGAAUACGUUCCCGGGCCUUGUACACACCGCCCGUCAAGCCAUGGAAGCUGGGAGUACCUGAAGUCGGUUACCGCAAGGAGCUGCCUAGGGUAAAACUGGUAACUGGGGCU